rnacentral:rRNA from 1 species
GAUGAACGCUGGCGGCGUGCUUAACACAUGCAAGUCGAACGAUGAAGCCCAGCUUGCUGGGUGGAUUAGUGGCGAACGGGUGAGUAACACGUGAGUAACCUGCCCUUAACUCUGGGAUAAGCCUGGGAAACUGGGUCUAAUACCGGAUAGGAGCGCCUACCGCAUGGUGGGUGUUGGAAAGAUUUAUCGGUUUUGGAUGGACUCGCGGCCUAUCAGCUUGUUGGUGAGGUAAUGGCUCACCAAGGCGACGACGGGUAGCCGGCCUGAGAGGGUGACCGGCCACACUGGGACUGAGACACGGCCCAGACUCCUACGGGAGGCAGCAGUGGGGAAUAUUGCACAAUGGGCGAAAGCCUGAUGCAGCGACGCCGCGUGAGGGAUGACGGCCUUCGGGUUGUAAACCUCUUUCAGUAGGGAAGAAGCAAAAGUGACGGUACCUGCAGAAGAAGCACCGGCUAACUACGUG